rnacentral:lncRNA from 1 species
CUGAAUCUGGGGCCAGCUCUUUCAGCAGCACUUGCGUCAUCUCAGAAACAGCACAGUUUCACCUCAAGUGACAAAACUAUCAAAUCCUUCUUUCCACACUCAGGAAAAGACUGUCUUUUGUGUUUUCCUGAAACCUUGCCUGAGAGCUCUUUAUUUUCUGUGGAAGCGAAUAGCAGUAAUAGCCAGAAAAAUGAGAAAGCUCUGACAAAUAUCCAAAACUGUAUGGCAGAAAAGAGAGAAACAGUGUUGAUAGAGACUCAGCUGAAAGCAUGUGCCUCUUUUAUACGAACCAGGCUUCUGCUUCAGUUUACCCAACCUCAGCAAACAUCGUUUGCUUUGGAGAGGAACUUAAGGACUCAGCAGGAAAUUGAAGAUAAAAUGAAAGGGUUCAGCUUCAAAGAAGACACUUUGCUGUUGAUAGCUGAGGGCCAAAUUUAAUCUACUGAAGGACUUGUCUCCCUCCUCUGUGUGCCUUUUGAUCACUC